rnacentral:RNase_P_RNA from 1 species
UGAGUAGACCAGACAGCCGCGCAGCGCGUGCGCAUUGAGCGUGGGCGUAGUGAGGAAAGUCCCCACUCCACAGAGCAGGGUAGCGGGUAACUCCCGUCCGCCGCGAGGCGAGGAAUAGGGCCACAGAGACCAAGACCGGUCUUGCUUCCACGCAAGUGGGGCAUUAGCCGGAGUGAAAAGGGUAACCUCUACCCGGAGCAAGGCCAAGAGAGGGACGCAGAGGCUGCUCGCGGAGUCCCGGGUAGGCCGCAAGGAGGCGCGGCGCAAGCUGCCGCCCAAGACAGAUGGCUGUCCGCGACAGAAUGGGGCUUAUCGGUCUACUCAACAC